GCUCACAGUUUCCCCCAGUCUGGAACCAUGCUGAUGUGUUAAACUACAACUUCCAUCAACUUCAGCCGGCACAAGAAUGAGAAUUGUAUAGUCCAGCAGACUAUCCUGGCUAUGACCUCUGUGAUAUGAAGUCCAAGACCUCUGAUGGGCCAGAGAUUUCCCACCCUUAAAGCAUAUUGGAUCAGACUGGACUCCAGGCAAUUGGGACAGGUUUUUAAAAACACACCACAAUCCAGACUACAGAUAGAAAGCCAAGCUGGAAAUGGCACAGUUGUCUAGAAACUGGCAUGAUAUGACAAAACCACGGGGAGCAGAAUAUGCUGCUAGCGCUGCACCUGUUAUCACCAGCAAAACAAAUAUAAUGUAAGUCCCUCCUCCACUUUUUUGUUUUAAACAGCAAAUUUUUCACUUUUAUCUACAGAGAAUAUGGAGUUGUUGUUCAUUUACCCACAAGAGUUGGAAAUUGUGAUAUUCCAGAC